rnacentral:rRNA from 1 species
GACGAACGCUGGCGGCAGGCUUAACACAUGCAAGUCGAGCGAGCGGCGGACGGGUGAGUAAUGUCUGGGAAACUGCCUGAUGGAGGGGGAUAACUACUGGAAACGGUAGCUAAUACCGCAUACCAUCAGAUGUGCCCAGAUGGGAUUAGCUAGUAGGUGGGGUAAUGGCUCACCUAGGCGACGAUCCCUAGCUGGUCUGAGAGGAGGACCAGCCAAAAUGGAACUGAGACCAGGUCCAGAACCCUACGGGAGGCAGCAGUGGGGAAUAUUGGAACAUGGGCGCAAGCCUGAUGCAGCCAUGCCGCGUGUGUGAAGAAGGCCUUCGGGGUGUAAAGCACUUUCAGCGAGGAGGCGUUACCCGCAGAAGAAGCACCGGCUAAAUCCGUGCCAGCCGCCGCGGUAAUUC